CUAAAACUCAAAGGAAUUGACGGGGGCCCGCACAAGCGGUGGAGCAUGUGGUUUAAUUCGAGGCAACGCGCAGAACCUUACCAGCCCUUGACAUGUCCAGGACCGGUCGCAGAGAUGUGACCUUCUCUUCGGAGCCUGGAGCACAGGUGCUGCAUGGCUGUCGUCAGCUCGUGUGUGAGAUGUUGGGUUAAGUCCGGCAACGAGCGCAACCCCCGUCCUUAGUUGCUACCAUUUAGUUGAGCACUCUAAGGAGACUGCCGGUGAUAAGCCGCGAGGAAGGUGGGGAUGACGUCAAUCCUCAUGGCCCUUACGGGCUGGGCUACACGCGUGCU
rnacentral:rRNA from 1 species